GAUGAACGCUGGCGGCGUGCCUAAUACAUGCAAGUCGAGCGAACAGACGAGGAGCUUGCUCCUCUGACGUUAGCGGCGGACGGGUGAGUAACACGUGGAUAACCUACCUAUAAGACUGGGAUAACUUCGGGAAACCGGAGCUAAUACCGGAUAAUAUAUUGAACCGCAUGGUUCAAUAGUGAAAGACGGUUUUGCUGUCACUUAUAGAUGGAUCCGCGCCGCAUUAGCUAGUUGGUAAGGUAAUGGCUUACCAAGGCAACGAUGCGUAGCCGACCUGAGAGGGUUAUCGGCCACACUGGAACUGAGACACGGUCCAGACUCCUACGGGAGGCAGCAGUAGGGAAUCUUCCGCAAUGGGCGAAAGCCUGACGGAGCAACGCCGCGUGAGUGAUGAAGGUCUUCGGAUCGUAAAACUCUGUUAUUAGGGAAGAACAAAUGUGUAAGUAACUAUGCACGUCUUGACGGUACCUAAUCAGAAAGCCACGGCUAACUACGUG
rnacentral:rRNA from 1 species